rnacentral:rRNA from 1 species
GCCGGGUGUGUAAGCGCAGCGAUGCGUUGAGCUAACCGGUACUAAUGAACCGUGAGGCUUAACCUUACAACGCCGAAGAUGUUUUG